CAUUUUUAUGAUUUGAUUAUUAGCUUUAUCAGCUCACAAACCCCCUGCAGUUUGCAAGUUUAACGCUGAUUUUACAGCAAACAUGCAUCAUCUGACUGUAUUUCAGUUCACACUUGGUAUCGCAGAAGAAACGCAGGAUAUGAUUCCCCAGACCACCAAGUCCAUACGGCUGCGGCGCUGCGGACACUGUCUGGUACAGCAACCCAUGAGAUCCAAACACUGCCAGACGUGUCAGCACUGUGUGCGGCGCUAUGAUCAUCACUGCCCCUGGAUAGAGAACUGCGUCGGGGAGAGAAACCACCGCUGGUUUGUGCUUUAUCUGGCUGUCCAGCUUGUUGUCUUACUGUGGGGACUGUACAUGGCCUGGUCCGGCUUCAGUCACGCUCCCACCUGGCAGCUGUGGUUGAGGACCAAC